UACGUAGGGGGCUAGCGUUAUCCGGAAUUACUGGGCGUAAAGGGUGCGUAGGUGGUUUCUUAAGUCAGAGGUGAAAGGCUACGGCUCAACCGUAGUAAGCCUUUGAAACUGGGAAACUUGAGUGCAGGAGAGGAGAGUGGAAUUCCUAGUGUAGCGGUGAAAUGCGUAGAUAUUAGGAGGAACACCAGUUGCGAAGGCGGCUCUCUGGACUGUAACUGACACUGAGGCACGAAAGCGUGGGGAGCAAACAGGAUUAGAUACCCUGGUAGUCCACGCCGUAAACGAUGAGUACUAGCUGUCGGAGGUUACCCCCUUCGGUGGCGCAGCUAACGCAUUAAGUACUCCGCCUGGGAAGUACGCUCGCAAGAGUGAA
rnacentral:rRNA from 1 species